UUUCCGGUUGAUCCUGCCGGACCUUACUGCUAUCGGGGUGGGACUAAGACAUGCGAGUCAAGCGUCUCUAGCUAUGUUGAGACGCGGCAUACGGCUCAGUAACACGUGGCUAACCUACCCUCAGGACAGGGACAACCCCGGGAAACUGGGGCUAAUACCUGAUAGGUGAGGAUGCCUGGAAUGGUUUUCUCACUCAAAGGGCUUUGGGAACAUGCUUCCAUUGUCGCCUGGGGGUGGGGCCGCGACCGAUCAGGUUGUUGGUUGAGGUAACGGCUCACCAAGCCUUUAACCGGUACGGGCCGUGAGAGCGGUAGCCCGGAGAUGGGUACUGAGACAAGGACCCAGGCCCUUCGGGGCGCAGCAGUCGCGAAAACUUCSCAAUGCAUGAAAGUGUGACGGGGCUACCCCGAGUGCCGUCCGCUGAGGAUGGCUUUUCCGGGGUUUAACUAGCCAGGGGAAUAAGGAGAGGGCAAGACUGGUGUCAGCCGCCGCGGUAAUACCAGCUCUCCGAUGGAAGGGUAUGAUUAUUGAGCUUAUAGCGCCCGUAGCCGGCUUAGCAAGUCUCGUGUUAAAUUCAGCGACCUAAUCGUUGAGCCGCGGGAGAUACUACUAGGCUAGGAGGCGGGAGAGGUCGACGGUACUUCUGGGGUAGGGGUGAAAUCCUAUAAUCCCGGGAGGACCACCAGUGGCGAAGGCUGUUGACUAGAACGCGCUCGACGGUGAGGGACGAAAGCUGGGGGAGCAAACCGGAUUAGAUACCCGGGUAGUCCCAGCUGUAAACGAUGCGGGCUAGGUGUUGGGGUGGCUACGUGCCACUUCAGUGCCGCAGGGAAACCAUUAAGCCCGCCGCCUGGGGAGUACGGCCGCAAGGCUGAAA
rnacentral:rRNA from 1 species